rnacentral:rRNA from 1 species
UACGUAGGGUGCAAGCGUUGUCCGGAAUUAUUGGGCGUAAAGAGCUCGUAGGCGGUUUGUCGCGUCGGCUGUGAAAGCCCGGAGCUCAACUCCGGGUCUGCAGUCGAUACGGGCAGACUUGAGUGUUGCAGGGGAGACUGGAAUUCCUGGUGUAGCGGUGAAAUGCGCAGAUAUCAGGAGGAACACCGGUGGCGAAGGCGGGUCUCUGGGCAACAACUGACGCUGAGGAGCGAAAGCGUGGGUAGCGAACAGG